GAAGCGUGUCGUGGUAUUUCGCGUAUUGUAAUUUCAACACGAGCGGGGUCAAAUCCUUUGCAGACGACUUAGCUGUGCGAAACGGUCCUGUAAGCAGUAGAGUAGCCUUGUUGUUACGAUCUGCUGAGGGUAAGCCGUCCUUCGCCUCGAUUU
rnacentral:rRNA from 1 species